rnacentral:rRNA from 1 species
AUUGAACGCUGGCGGCAGGCCUAACACAUGCAAGUCGAACGAGUGGCGGACGGGUGAGUAAUGUAUGGGAAACUGCCUGAUGGAGGGGGAUAACUACUGGAAACGGUAGCUAAUACCGCAUACCAUCAGAUGUGCCCAGAUGGGAUUAGCUGGUUGGUGGGGUAACGGCUCACCAAGGCGACGAGCCCUAGGUGGUCUGAGAGGAGGACCAGCCACACUGGAACUGAGACACGGUCCAUACUCCUACGGGAGGCAGCAGUGGGGAAUAUUGCACAAUGGGCGCAAGCCUGAUGCAGCCAUGCCGCGUGUAUGAAGAAGGCCUUCGGGUUGUAAAGUACUUUCAGCCGGGAGGCUUUCCCCUCCUCAGAAGCACCGGCUAACUCCGUGCCAGCAGCCGCGGUAAUAC